rnacentral:rRNA from 1 species
CUGCUGCCUCCCGUAGGAGUCUGGGCCGUGUCUCAGUCCCAAUGUGGCCGGUCACCCUCUCAGGUCGGCUACUGAUCGUUGCCUUGGUGGGCCGUUACCCCUCCAACUAGCUAAUCAGACGCGGGUCCAUCUCAUACCGUCUCGGCUUUUCACCCCGAACCAUGCGGUUCUGUGUGCUUAUGCGGUAUUAGCAGUCAUUUCUAACUGUUAUCCCCCUGUAUGAGGCAGGUUACCCACGCGUUACUCACCCGUCCGCCG